rnacentral:lncRNA from 1 species
CAAAGUCCUCUGCAGAAGUUCCAGUCACUGUUAGAAAACACGUACAGUCUGACUAACUUUGACUUUCCACUUCCCUCUGCUUUGGGUCUGAUGACAUAACAACUAUUCCUGGCCACUUCAAUGGCUGAUUAUAUAUUCUACUAUAUCCAGGUAUGUAGGGAAUACAUUGAAGUAAAGGUUGUAUGCCUGAUGAUGUGCAGGACGUGGCUGACGCCACUGCUGGGUCUGACUGUGAGUCUGUGCAUACUGAGGUACUGCUGCAAAAUCUGCAGUAAAGUCUCAGACACUGACUCAGUUCUGGACCUGUCAAACAGCGACCAUGUCUAUGUGAUUCCCAACCCCAUUCAUGUGAGAGAAGAGAGAGGCGAACAAGAUGAGAUAAGCUCUCAUGAUGACUCUGAGUUCACACCACCACCAUAUGAACUAGUGUGUCCACCACCGUCAUAUGCAGAGUCCAGCGUUAAAUUAAAUAUUUCUGAUGUUCAAGUGACUCCAGACACUUCCGACGUGCCACCGCCACCGUACUGCCCACCUUUAAAUAUGAUGUCACAAUCAUCCAGUCAUCAACAAUAGACACUUCUGAAUAUAUAUUUUUGUUGGUGUGAUAACGAGUAUAACUAAUACAUGUUUUUAUUCUCAUAACUGGAAUUGUGUGUGUGAAAGUUCGCACCAAAUAGGCAGGGCUAUGUGGUGUUUUUCCCUGGAACUUAGAGUUUUCCAGAAUAAUCAUUCAGUACUUUCACCAUCAGACAAGAUAAGAUGCUGCAUCAUAUUAAUGAGCAAAUGAACCUAAGUCUGUCAUUCGGUUACUCAACAGUCUAAGAGCUUUACAGUUUCUACGUCAGAGAUAAAUCUUAUCUUGUAAGAACAAAAAAGUUUACUGCUUUUGUGAACCACGUGAAGAGGAGUGGCUGAAAUGUAACCAUAUUUCCAUGUAUUAUGUAAAUCCUGGGUAACGCUUUACUUGAAGGGGUGUGCAUAAGACUGACAUGACACCGCAUUAAAAAUGACAUAACUGAGCGAAUGACACU